AGAGUUUGAUCCUGGCUCAGAACGAACGCUGGCGGCGCGUUUUAAGCAUGCAAGUCGAGCGGCAGGGGGGCUUCCGUCCCCCGAGAGCGGCGGACGGGUGAGUAACACGUGGACAACCUGCCCCCCGGUUCGGGAUAGCCCAGGGAAACCUGGAUCAAUACCGGAUGCGAGGGCGGCCGCACAAGCGGCCGUCGGGAAAGGCGCUUCGGCGCCGCCGGGGGAUGGGUCCGCGUCCCAUUAGCUAGACGGUGGGGUAACGGCCCACCGUGGCGAUGAUGGGUAGCCGGCCUGAGAGGGUGGACGGCCACAUUGGAACUGAGACACGGUCCAGACUCCUACGGGAGGCAGCAGCUAAGAAUCUUCCGCAAUGGGCGAAAGCCUGAUCUAGCAACACCGCGUGUGCGAUGAAGGCCUUCGGGUUGUAAAGCACUUUUUGGAGGGAAUAGGAAGGAAGGUACCUCCAGAAUAAGUCUCGGCUAACUACGUGCCAGCAGCCGCGGUAACACGUAGGAGGCAAACGUUAUCCGGAUUCACUGGGCGUAAAGCGCGUGUAGGUGGUUCUGUAAGUAGGGCGUGAAAGCUCCCGGCUCAACUGGGAGAGGCCGUACUAAACUGCAGAGCUAGAGGAUGGUAGAGGGAGGUGGAAUUCCAGGUGUAGUGGUGAAAUGCGCAGAUAUCUGGAGGAACACCAGUGGCGAAGGCGGCCUCCUGGACCAUUCCUGACACUCAGACGCGAAAGCUAGGGUAGCAAACGGAAUUAGAGACUCCGGUAGUCCUAGCCCUAAACGAUGCAGACUAGGCGUCGGCGGUUUAAUCACCGUCGGUGUCCAAGCUAACGCGAUAAGUCUGCCGCCUGAGGACUACGGCCGCAAGGCUAAAACUCAAAGGAAUUGACGGGUCCCCGCACAAGCAGCGGAGCGUGUGGUUUAAUUCGAUGCUCCGCGAAGAACCUUACCUGGGUUUGACAUAACAGUGGUAGAGAAGUGAAAACGGAUCGACCCUUCGGGGAGCUGUUACAGGUGUUGCAUGCCUGUCGUCAGCUCGUGUCGUGAGAUGUUCGGUUAAGUCCGCUAACGAGCGCAACCCGCGCUGUGUGUUACAAGUGUCACACAGUACCGCCGGUAUUAAGUCGGAGGAAGGUGCGGAUGACGUCAAGUCAGCAUGACCUUUAUAUCCAGGGCUACACACACGCUACAAUGGUCAGAACAAUAGGUUGCCAAGCCGCAAGGCGGAGCCAAUCCUCCAAAUCUGGCCUCAGUUCAGAUUGCAGGCUGCAACUCGCCUGCAUGAAGUCGGAGUUGCUAGUAACCGCAGGUCAGCAUACUGCGGUGAAUACGUUCCCGGGGAUUGUACUCACCGCCCGUCAAG
rnacentral:rRNA from 1 species